GACGAACGCUGGCGGCGUGCUUAACACAUGCAAGUCGAACGGAAAGGCCCUGCUUGCAGGGUACUCGAGUGGCGAACGGGUGAGUAACACGUGGGUGAUCUCCCCUGCACUUCGGGAUAAGCUUGGGAAACUGGGUCUAAUACCGGAUAGGAGCCAUCUUUAGUGUGGUGGUUGGAAAGUUUUUUCGGUGUAGGAUGAGCUCGCGGCCUAUCAGCUUGUUGGUGGGGUAAUGGCCUACCAAGGCGGCGACGGGUAGCCGGCCUGAGAGGGUGUACGGCCACAUUGGGACUGAGAUACGGCCCAGACUCCUACGGGAGGCAGCAGUGGGGAAUAUUGCACAAUGGGCGCAAGCCUGAUGCAGCGACGCCGCGUGGGGGAUGAAGGCCUUCGGGUUGUAAACUCCUUUCGCUAGGGACGAAGCUUUUUUGUGACGGUACCUAGAUAAGAAGCACCGGCUAACUACGUG
rnacentral:rRNA from 1 species